rnacentral:rRNA from 1 species
GCGGGACAACUCACCAGGCCCAGACACUGUGAGGAUUGACAGACUGAGAGCUCUCUCGUGAUUCAGUGGGUGGUGGUGCAUGGCCGUUCUUAGUUGGUGGAGUGAUUUGUCUGGUUUAUUCCGAUAACGAACGAGACUCUGGCCUAUUAAACUAGAUAGCGUGCGUACUUGUACGCCGCUAUGCUUCUUAGAGGGAUCGUCGGCGCCUUAGCCGAACGAAAGAGAGCAAUAA